CUUCCAUUUCUUGGUGGAGAUGAGGUGCGCAGUUCUGCUCCCCUGUUAGGUAUGGAGGCAAAAGGGUUUCUGGCCCUCUCAAGGUCCUGUCAGCCAAUUCUGUCCUCUAGUAUUGCAACAGACUCUGGGGGAAAAAAGAAUGUACCUUGUGAAAGGU
rnacentral:snoRNA from 1 species